rnacentral:lncRNA from 1 species
GUAAGCACUGCUUGUGUCACACUGCUGUAUGGUCCUCAAAGGAGCCCUCAAGCUCCCUUUCCAUAUCCAGGUUAUGUAGAUACUGGUGAUGCUAGGAACUUGAAACUAAGUUCAUUUGCUGGCUUUUACAGUAGGUGAUUAUUGUUUUUUGUUUGUCGUUGCUCCCCUAUCCAAAGUAUUUCAGUGAGUUGUAUCUUCUGCCAAGGCAGAGUUUCUAGUUGAGGCUUGGCUGAAAAAAUGAAGGCAAACAAGAGCUUUGCUAGAUUCCAGUCUGGAAAGGAAGAAGAUCCUGGGGGAUUUUUGUGUUGUAGCUCCUAAAGGCCUCUGAAUGCUUCUGGGGCUGUAUCUUUUAACCUGGACUAGAGAAGAGUCUUUGAAGUUCCUACAGUUUGAUUGGAAGGGGAGACAGAGGAUGAAGUCGGUGAGGCACAGAGGUGAAAAGCUCCAUUCAGUGUUACAUAUCUGCUCAUGAUGGUGGUGGGUUUUUCCCUUCUGUGUCGGGUGAAGAGACAGGCUGGUUGCGGAGUUGUGCUGGGUGACUGGUUGCUGAACUCAUCUGAAAAAAAAACAGUCUGUUUCACAAACAACAGGAGAAAACAAAGAAUAGUUGAAGAGUGCUGGUGUACGUGUGUAUUCCGUUGUCCUGCAGGACACAGAGGUGCUCAGGCUUGUGACUGUCCUGGAGACUGUUCCAAUAAUGGAAAUGGAUUUCUGAGCUAACGUGGAUGAGAUUCCUGUCAUGAAUGCUGUCCUGUGGAAGGGCUCUACCCAGCAACUAACAAGGUUAAAUUUCAGUGGAUGCAGCAUGUUCCUUCACUUCCUCCCCUGAAUGGGUGUUGACAUGCUAUGAAACAGCUGCCUUGCUCUGCUCUGGAGGUAGAUGCUCUUUCAAAGGCUGAAGUAACUCCUGCCAACAUCCAGCUUGUCUUAUUAACCUGUUGGGAUUGCUCCAGACCAAAGUUACAGAGGAAUGCUGUGUUAUGUGGCAAACGACCCGGGAAAGGUAUUUUAUGAUAUAUGUGGAAUUACAUUUGCAACAUGUAUCUGUAACAGCCCUAAGACCUCACUGUACAGCUUUAGUUCACAGGGGAAUAUUGAAGCAAUUCUGUGCCUUCCUUGGUUGAAGCUCCAGUGUAUAGCUGAAAAUCUGAUUACCGAAUUACUGAAGCCUUAAGAAAUUAGGCUGUCUUCAGGAUUGUUUCUUAGAAGAAGGAUGGCAGCAGGGCCAGCGUGAGAGUAACUGUGGGGAAGUGAUCGGUAUGCGAUGGUGUUACUUUCCCAGCUGUUCAAUGGGCUUUUCUGUGGGGUGUAGCUUCUUCAGCACGGGAACAAUCUUUCAUUCUCAUUUCUGCAGUCCCCUAAGUAUGUGUGAUCUGGAAUUGCGCAGUAAUGUAAUACCUGAAAUCUUGUGAUGGACUUCCAUAGGAAGUCCUAUGUUUGGACGUGCGGUUGUAUCUUUCUAGGAUAACCUGUUGUUCAUCAUCCUUUCUGGAAGCUGGCUUUGGAAAGGUAUAUUGACAGAGAGAAUUUACGGUAUUAUUUUAAGACACUUAAUAAACCAUAGUGUUCCUUUAUUACAAUGUAAAGCAGUGCCGGUUUUGAGUUUUAUAAGGCAUUUAAGCGCAGUUGUGGCCUUCAUGAACGUAAUACCAACGACUGUAUGAGAAGAAGGGCACUGCGUUGAAGUUGAAGAUGAGUUGAGGUUGGACAUUACGCACUGAUUUCCCAAGAGGACUCUCCUUCAGUGCCUGGAGAAGUAAUUUCAAUAUUCAUCUCUUCUCAUUGUAGGCUAAUUACUAAAUAUUGUAGUAGCUUAAUUUAGUUUGUAAUUUAUUCACUUGUUUGUGAUUAUGUUCCCAGAAUGGGGGAUAAACUUGAAUUGGAGUAUUUGAAUAUUUGAGGAUUGGGAUUAAAAAAAAAAAAAUCUGAAUCAAGAAAUGAGAUGAUACUACUUACCUAG